rnacentral:rRNA from 1 species
GAUGAACGCUGGCGGCGUGCCUAAUACAUGCAAGUCGAGCGAACAGACGAGGAGCUUGCUCCUCUGACGUUAGCGGCGGACGGGUGAGUAACACGUGGAUAACCUACCUAUAAGACUGGGAUAACUUCGGGAAACCGGCGCUAAUACCGUAUAAUAUAUUGAACCGCAUGGUUCAAUAGUGAAAGACGGUUUUGCUGUCACUUAUAGAUGGAUCCGCGCCGGAUUAGCUAGUUGGUAAGGUAACGGCUUACCAAGGCAACGAUGCGUAGCCGACCUGAGAGGGGGGUAGGCGACAUUGGAACUGAAACACGGUCCAGACUACUACGGGAGGCAGCAGUAGGGAAUCUUACGCAAUGGGCGAAAGCCUGACGGAGCAACGCCGCGUGAGUGAUGAAGGUCUUCGGAUCGUAAAACUCUGUUAUUAGGGAAGAACAAAUGUGUAAGUAACUAUGCACGUCUUGACGGUACCUAAUCAGAAAGCCACGGCUAACUACGUG